UGUUAGGCUCUCUCUAACCCUUUGAAGCAAAUUAAGCUAAGCUGUCUCUUUCUCCUUUCCACUUCGGUACCUCUUCUCUCAAGGAUAAUUCUUCUCUCUAUUCUCUCAAGUCUCAAUGGUCGCUCUUUACUCUAAACACUGAUUCUGGACGAUUAUGGUGAUCCAUUCCAGCUAGUUGUGUUCUUACAUAAGGUAGAACAAGUUGCAACUACAAAACGUUUAAAGAGAAUUUAAGUUCCAUCUUCACUUUUUUUACUGCCUCUGCUUUGCGUCAAUCUCCAUAGUACUUAAACCCUUUGUUAGAACAUAUUCAAAGUUCAAGGAAGGUCUCUACAUCUACAACAUUCAGUUUGAACAACAUUGGCUUGAAGCUCAUCCUGAACGGUUGGCAAAAGUUAUAGGUUGUGUGCACAGAAGCAAGAAUGUCUGUAUCGAGGGAGAGAAGGAUUCAUGUAACACAGGAAGACUAUGAGAUGGAUGGUAGAGGCCAAGAUAAUGAAGAAAGACACUGAGAAAAACAUGUUCAGCAAGCUUUGUUAGUUUAGACUAGCUAUUUACUUUAAAAGUUUUUUUGUAUUAAUGUAUGAUUGAUUUUCUGAAUGUUUUUUUCUUCUUUGUUUAAACAUAUUUUAUUGGGGAAUUCUCUUAUAGGAGCUUCACUUUAAGCCCUACUGGUGGGGCUCUCUGUGUUCUCGAUCCGCGAACAGUUUUCGGCGUAAUUUUUUUUUUGACAGUAUAUAUUGUAGUUAUUUAGAGCAUCUUGCAAAUUUUCAGAAAAUUCCGAAUAGUUUACAGUACUGAAAACUAGGUUCAAACAUGUUGUUGCACGUGUGACUAAAUUUUUUUAUGCGCGUGGAAAGCAACAUGCUUGAACCUGUUUAAACUUAGUUGUCGAUACUGUAAAUUAUUCAUAAUUUUCAGAAAAUUUGCAGGAUGCUCUAAACAACAACAAUAUACACGGUCAUAAAAAAAAUCGUACCGAAAACUGUUUACGAGUCGAGAAACACUGAGAGUCUCACCGAUAGAACUUAAAAUGAAGACUCUAUAGAAAAACAGUCUAUAUAUAUAUAUAUAUUGAAAAAGUAACUAAGGUGCUAAUCAAAUAAGAACAAGCAGAUAUGAUGAUGAAUUGACCACCAUGCACGUGAUGGAUACACAAGCUCACCACAUGCCUCAAGGAUGGAGUAAAGUUAAUUUUCACUUUCAACCCACUUCUACAGGUUCUUUGUUGGCUGCUCUAACUCUAUUGUACACAUGCAUUCAUUAAACAGUAGAGUAAAGAUAAGAUCAUCAACAAGGGUGGGUGUGUAAAAAUGUCAAAAGAUACGGCUAUAAUAUUUCACGCGUUAUAUUUAAUGU